rnacentral:rRNA from 1 species
GACGAACGCUGGCGGCGUGCUUAACACAUGCAAGUCGAACGGAAAGGCCCUGCUUUUGUGGGGUGCUCGAGUGGCGAACGGGUGAGUAACACGUGAGUAACCUGCCCUUGACUUUGGGAUAACUUCAGGAAACUGGGGCUAAUACCGGAUAGGAGCUCCUGCUGCAUGGUGGGGGUUGGAAAGUUUCGGCGGUUGGGGAUGGACUCGCGGCUUAUCAGCUUGUUGGUGGGGUAGUGGCUUACCAAGGCUUUGACGGGUAGCCGGCCUGAGAGGGUGACCGGCCACAUUGGGACUGAGAUACGGCCCAGACUCCUACGGGAGGCAGAGUGGGGAAUAUUGCACAAUGGGCGGAAGCCUGAUGCAGCAACGCCGCGUGCGGGAUGACGGCCUUCGGGUUGUAAACCGCUUUCGCCUGUGACGAAGCGUGAGUGACGGUAAUGGGUAAAGAAGCACCGGCUAACUACGUG